CAGAUGUGAAAGACCCGGGGCGUCAACCUCGGAAUAGCAUUUGAAACUAGGCAGACUAGAGUACUGUAGAGGGGGGUAGGAAGUUUCUAGGUGUAGCGGUGAAAUAGCGUAGAGAUCUGAAGGAAUACCGGUGGCGAAGGCGGCCCCCUCGGACAGAUACUGACACUCAGAUGCGAAAGCGUGGGGAGCAAACAGGAUUAGAUACCCUGGUAG
rnacentral:rRNA from 1 species